UACAGAGGUCCCGAGCGUUGUUCGGAUUCAUUGGGCGUAAAGGGUGCGUAGGCGGUUUGCUAAGUUUGAUGUGAAAUUCCGGGGCUCAACCCUGGCAUGGCAUUGAAUACUGGCGGACUAGAGUACUGGAGAGGAAACUGGAAUUUACGGUGUAGCAGUGAAAUGCGUAGAGAUCGUAAGGAAGACCAGUGGCGAAGGCGAGUUUCUGGACAGUAACUGACGCUGAGGCACGAAGGCCAGGGGAGCAAACAGG
rnacentral:rRNA from 1 species